rnacentral:rRNA from 1 species
UACGUAGGGGGCAAGCGUUGUCCGGAUUUAUUGGGCGUAAAGAGCGUGUAGGCGGUCAGGUAGGUCCGUUGUGAAAACUCGAGGCUCAACCUCGAGACGCCGAUGGAAACCAUCUGACUAGAGUCCGGAAGAGGAGAGUGGAAUUCCUGGUGUAGCGGUGAAAUGCGCAGAUAUCAGGAAGAACACCCGUGGCUAAGGCGGCUCUCUAGUACGGUACUGACGCUGAGACGCGAAAAGCGUGGGGAGCGAACAGGG